CCUACGGGAGGCAGCAGUGGGGAAUAUUGCACAAUGGGGGAAACCCUGAUGCAGCGACGCCGCGUGAGUGAAGAAGUAUUUCGGUAUGUAAAGCUCUAUCAGCAGGGAAGAAAUAGCGACCUUUGGGUCGCCAGACGGUACCUGAUUAAGAAGCCCCGGCUAACUACGUGCCAGCAGCCGCGGUAAUACGUAGGGGGCAAGCGUUAUCCGGAUUUACUGGGGGUAAAGGGAGCGUAGACGGCAGAGCAAGUCUGAAGUGAAAGCCCGCGGCCCAACUGCGGGCCUGCUUUGGAAACUGCCCGGCU
rnacentral:rRNA from 1 species